UGCCGACUUGCAGGGUAGAUUAUUGAUCUUCACCAUGGAGCGAAGCAAGCGAUAAUGGGGAUGGCCCAAACGGUUGUGCCAGCCAUCAAGAGUGGUGCUCUCGGCUACGUGAACAGAUGCAGACAACGGAGAAGGGCUGGAAUGGAGAGUGUAUAAUCCUCAUUUACUCAGACCGGAUAACACUAUGGUCUUGGUAGUUCGAU
rnacentral:lncRNA from 1 species